CGAGGGGCAUCACAUGAAGUAGCAAUACGGAUGGUGGCGACCGGCGCACGGGUGAGUAACGCGUAUGCAAUCUACCUACAACAAGGGGUAUAACCCCGUUGAAAGACGGACUAAUACCCUAUAAUACAGGGGUUCCGCAUGGGACUAUUUGUUAAACGAUUCAUCGGUUGUAGAUGAGCAUGCGUUCCAUUAGCUGGUUGGUGGGGUAACGGCCCACCAAGGCAACGAUGGAUAGGGGAACUGAGAGGUUUAUCCCCCGACACUGGUACUGAGACACGGACCAGACUCCUACGGGAGGCAGCAGUGAGGAAUAUUGGUCAAUGGACGCAAGUCUGAACCAGCCACGUCGCGUGAAGGAAGACGGCCCUACGGGUUGUAAACUUCUUUUGUAACGGGAAUAAACGUGAGUCACGGGUUGACUUUUUGCAUGUACCUUACGAAUAAGGAUCGGCUAACUCCGUGCCAGCAGCCGCGGUAAUACGGAGGAUCCGAGCGUUAUCCGGAUUUAUUGGGUUUAAACGGGUUGCGCAGGCGGGAGAUUAAGUCGGCGGUGAAAUUUUGCAGCUCAACUGUAAAACGUGCCAUCGAUACUGGUUUUACUUGAGUGUAGAUGAAGUAGGCGGAAUUUGUGGUGUAGCGGUGAAAUGCAUAGAUAUCACGAGGAACUCCGAUUGCGCAGGCAGCUUACUAAACCUACAACCUGACGCUCAGGCACGAAGGCGUGGGGAUCAAACGAGGUAUUAGAUACCCUGGUAGUCCACGCAGUAAACGAUGAUUACUGGUCU
rnacentral:rRNA from 1 species